ensembl:lncRNA
UGCUGAUGGAGCUCUGGUGUGUGGGUCUCCCCUGCAGCCACGCCACAAACCACGUCCGCCACAAAGUGAUAGCGAGUUUCCUUCAAAAAAUGUCUGGACUCACAAAUACAGAUGGAUGAUGACUUAUGUCAUGUGCAAGGCACUCACAACCAGUGUUGGAAUAACUGAGGAGGUGGGUGGAGGAGAUCUGGGUGUCUCUUCAUAGCGGUCAUGGUCCGUGAGAGUUCCUGGGAGUUUCCAUCUGUGGCUGCUGGUCCCUUUGGGGUGGAGCCUUCCACAUCUCACCUGGACCGUGUUUGCAUGCAGUCAGCAGGAGGGCUCUUAAACCCUGAGCAGUCUACUAUGCCUCGCCAACUCAUUGUGUGCCCUCUGGUGAGGUUGACGUGGCUCGUUCCGCUUGGAGUGUUUUCACCUACCUGCUCUGGUGACCCUCGGCUGCUUCUCCUGCCCGAUUGCCUGCCCGCAGCCUGCCCCGCCUCAGAGCUCUUUGUGUCGGACCUAUUAAACCCUCCAUGGUUCCUCGGUCCCCGUUGGUUCGUCAGUUCCAGACUGACCCACUUUUAAUGGGGUGGAUCAUCACUGUCAAGGGAGGACUGAGACAGGGAGAAAGUGUUAAGUUUUCUCAACAUUUAGUUACCACAUGUUGCUUCCUUGGGUGUUACUGUCAGUGCAAAGUUCUACUGCAACGUGGUCACAGGUGCACAAGGAAAAAUAUUUGGGGGAAAUUAGCUAAACUGGGGACGGGCAUUGCAAAUGAUUCCAGGCUAUAAAUACUGUGGUGUGUUGCCUGCUUCAUGAAACAUAGAAAUAAACCUAACUAAACUGCAAUGUGUGUCAGCCUGUUCUCUAGUGCCAGCUCAGAGCACAUUAAGCAUUUUUGGCUGC